GACGAACGCUGGCGGCGUGCUUAACACAUGCAAGUCGAACGGAAAGGCCCUGCUUUUGUGGGGUGCUCGAGUGGCGAACGGGUGAGUAACACGUGAGUAACCUGCCCUUGACUUUGGGAUAACUUCAGGAAACUGGGGCUAAUACCGGAUAGGAGCUCCUGCUGCAUGGUGGGGGUUGGAAAGUUUCGGCGGUUGGGGAUGGACUCGCGGCUUAUCAGCUUGUUGGUGGGGUAGUGGCUUACCAAGGCUUUGACGGGUAGCCGGCCUGAGAGGGUGACCUGCCACAUUGGGACUGAGAUACGGCCCAGACUCCUACGGGAGGCAGCAGUGGGGAAUAUUGCACAAUGGGCGGAAGCCUGAUGCAGCAACGCCGCGUGCAGGAUGACGGCCUUCGGGUUGUAAACCGCUUUCGCCUGUGACGAAGCGUGAGUGACGGUAAUGGGUAAAGAAGCACCGGCUAACUACGUG
rnacentral:rRNA from 1 species